rnacentral:snRNA from 1 species
AGCUUUGCGCAGUGGCAAUAGCAUAACCUGUGAAGUGAAACUGAGGUGCGAUUAUUGCUAAUUGAAAACUAUUCCUAAUAUCCUGCUUCAUAGAGCCUGCUUGAAAGAGUCUGCGUUAGCAAUUUUUUACAGCUUCUUUGGGGG